AAAUGAGGUAGAGGCGCGACGGCCAUUAGUAAAUUUCCUGAGGAUGACAACGAAGAGGGAAAAAGAAAGGGAAAGUCGCCGAAGUGAAACCAGAGGUCAGACUGUUUUCGCUGGGUCUGUAUUUAAUAAGUACAGGACUGUCAUAGCUUGGGUUAGCGUUCAAGUUAUGGAGAACUACCAUUCAA
rnacentral:ncRNA from 2 species